AGAACAGACAUUAUGGAAUUAGAAAAAUGAAUCAAAGAAGCAGUCAUUCUCAUACCAUUUUUAGGAUGAUUUUGGAAAGCAGAGAGAAAGAUGAACCCUCUAAUUGUGAAGGAUCUGUCAAGGUGUCCCAUUUGAAUUUGGUUGAUCUUGCAGGCAGUGAAAGAGCUAUUCA